UACAGAGGUGGCAAGCGUUGUUCGGAAUUACUGGGCGUAAAGCGCACGCAGGUGGCUGAGUCAGUCGAUUGUGAAAGCCCUGGGCUUAACCUGGGAAUUGCAGUCGAUACUACUCAGCUAGAGUAUGGGGAGAGGGAUUGUGGAAUUCCAGGUGUAGCGGUGAAAUGCGUAGAUAUCUGGAGGAACACCGGGUGGCGAAGGCGGCAUCCUGGACCGGUAUUGACGCUGAGGCGCGAAAGCCAGGGGAGCAAACGGG
rnacentral:rRNA from 1 species